GACGAACGCUGGCGGCGUGCCUAAUACAUGCAAGUUGAGCGCUGAAGGUUGGUACUUGUACCGACUGGAUGAGCAGCGAACGGGUGAGUAACGCGUGGGGAAUCUGCCUUUGAGCGGGGGACAACAUUUGGAAACGAAUGCUAAUACCGCAUAAAAACUUUAAACACAAGUUUUAAGUUUGAAAGAUGCAAUUGCAUCACUCAAAGAUGAUCCCGCGUUGUAUUAGCUAGUUGGUGAGGUAAAGGCUCACCAAGGCGAUGAUACAUAGCCGACCUGAGAGGGUGAUCGGCCACAUUGGGACUGAGACACGGCCCAAACUCCUACGGGAGGCAGCAGUAGGGAAUCGUCGGCAAUGGACGAAAGUCUGACCGAGCAACGCCGCGUGAGUGAAGAAGGUUGUCGGAUCGUAAAACUCUGUUGGUAGAGAAGAACGUUGGUGAGAGUGGAAAGCUCAUCAAGUGACGGUAACUACCCAGAAAGGGACGGCUAACUACGUG
rnacentral:rRNA from 1 species